AUAUAUCGUUCCACAGCUAUGCGAUUCUGUAACAAACACAUCAUCGAUGCUAACAACGACGAGUUCACAGAUGUCGCAUCGUAGACAUCGCUUUUAAAAACAACGUUGAUGAAAACCGUAUUCGCUUAGCUCAAAAGCUCGUCGACGAUCUGCCGAACAACGAUGACGGGUAGGAUGUUUACAGUGUUGCCAAAUUUCUUCUAAAGCAAUUUAAAGUAUAAUCGAGAAAAUCUCGACUAACGUUUUUUGGCGUUAUUUCGACAUUUUAAAUCAAUGUAAAUGCAUAAUAUGUAUGUAUAAAACACAUUCUAUUCGAUAAGCAACGAAUAUUUAAUUAAUCAUAUCAUUUUCGACAUAGAAAAUAAUGACUCAAAUCUUUGACAUUUGUUAUAAUCUAGGUUAUGUAGUAUAAUAUAUAGUCUGUGUCAUUUCAAAACUUUUCAAAAUCAAAACAAACAUUUUGCUCUUAACUGGAUUAUAUCUUUAUUUAUCUAUUUAUCUAAAUACGAGAUUUCAAAGCUCCAAAUGGCUUUAAGCGGUCAAGAGGACUUUAAAAAAAGUUGUACCCCUGACCAACGGCAUUCUACUUGUCCUGUGUUUUAGUUUGGUUCCAAAACUAUCGAAAUGUCUCGCAACGCACUGCCUUCGUUGAGUCAGCUGGAAGAGCUAGUAAGCUUUUUGGAAAGCAAACCAUGUUUGAUUAUGAUGGGCCAUGAUCGUACUGCAAUGCGAGCAGUCAUCAGGCACGAUCCGAAAACAAGUGACGUAGUGGGUGUAUGAAAAUAUUGGAGCAGUGGUGUAAGCACUAGAAGGACAAAAGGGAGCAGUUCAGAGGAAGUCCAGUUCUAUAGCAGCUGCGAGGCAACAUGAAGAAUUUGUCAGAACUCGGUGUAAUUGAGUUAACAAUACAUUCCAUUAUGCGAGGAGAAUGUUUUGGAAUCUGAAUUUAGAUAAAUAAAUCCAUGUUCAUUAUAAAAUACAAAAUAAUAAAAAGACAUGUUGAAUUAA